rnacentral:rRNA from 1 species
ACUCAAAGGAAUAGACGGGGGCCCGCACAAGCGGUGGAGUAUGUGGUUUAAUUCGAAGCAACGCGAAGAACCUUACCUGGGCUUGACAUCCUGUGAAUACCGUAGAGAUACGGGGCACUCGCAAGAGACACAGAGACAGGUGCUGCAUGGCUGUCGUCAGCUCGUGUCGUGAGAUGUUGGGUUAAGUCCCGCAACGAGCGCAACCCUUGUCCUUAGUUGCCAUCAUUCAGUUGGGCACUUUAAGGAGACUGCCGGUGAUAAACCGGAGGAAGGUGGGGAUGACGUCAAGUCCUCAUGGCCCUUACGUCCAGGGCUACACACGUACUACAAUGGCCAAAACAAAGCGACGCAAAGCCGCAAGGCAGAGCCAAACGCAAAAACAUGGUCUCAGUUCGGAUUGUGGUCUGCAACUCGACCACAUGAAGUUGGAAUCGCUAGUAAUCGCAGAUCAGCAAGCUGCGGUGAAUACGUUCCCGGGCCUUGUACACACCGCCCGU